rnacentral:rRNA from 1 species
AUAUAAUAUUUUGAUUUUUUUUUAUUAUUUAUUUUUUAAAUAAAGUAUUUUUUUUAUUUAAGUAUAACUUUUGAAAAAAUUCUUAUUUCUAUAGUUUAUAUGUACUGUAUAGGAUAUUUUUAUUUUGAUUAUAAGUAUUUUUUUAUUGUACCUUUUGUAUCAGGGUUAAUUAAUUAAUUAUAAUAUAUUUUAAUUUCCCGAAUUUAAAUUAUUUAAAUUUUUAUUUUAAUUAAUGUUUCAUAAUUAUUAAUAAUUUUUUUUUAGUAGUGAAAUAUUAUUCGCCCUUAAUGGUAUCUGGUUUCUUAAGAUUUAAAUUUAAUUUUGGAUUAUUAAGUUUUUUAAAAAUUUUAUUUUAAUAAUUUUUUUGAUAUUAAAAAAGGAGGGAUAAUCUUGCUUUAAUAUUUAUAAUUUUUUAUUAUAAUAAUUUUUGGAGGGUUAGAAACAGCAUUCAUUUGAUUACGUAAUUGUUUAUUUUUAUAAUUUAUUAUUUGGUUUUAUUUUUUUUUUAUUAAGAUUUUAAAGUUAAUUAUUUUUUUAAUUAAUAAUGAUUAAAUUAGUAUAAUUAUCAAUAUUUUUGUAGGAAUUCGGCAAUUCUUUUUUCCACCUGUUUAUCAAAAACAUGGUUUUUAGAUUUUAUUUUAAAGAUUUAGUCUGCCCAAUGAUUUUUUAAUGGCCGCAGUAAUUUGACUGUGCAAAGGUAGCAUAAUAAUUAGUCUUUUAAUUGGAGUCUGGAAUGAAUGAUUGGAUGAGAAAACAACUUUCUUCAUUUUUUUAUUAAAACUUAAUUUUUAAGUGAAAAAGCUUAAAUUUUUUUAAGGGACGAUAAGACCCUAUAGAGCUUUAUUUUUAUUUAUUUCAAAUUUGUUUUAUAUAUUUUUUGAUAUGUAGUGAUUUUUUAAUUGGGGUGAUGGAUUAAUUAUUUUUUCUUAUUUUUUUUUAUUCAUAAAUAAAUGUUUAUUUGAUCCUUUAUUUUUUUUUUGAUUAAAAGAAUAAGUUACCUUAGGGAUAACAGCGUAAUUAUUUUGGAGAGUUCAAAUCGAUAAAAUAGUUUGCGACCUCGAUGUUGGAUUAAGAUUAGAAUAAGGGGCAGUUUUUUUAUUUCUAGGUCUGUUCGACCUUUAAAUUCUUACAUGAUCUGAGUUCAGACCGGCGUGAGCCAGGUUGGUUUCUAUCCUUAGAUUUUAUAUUUGAUAUCAGUACGAAAGGACCAAUUCAAUAAUUUAUUAAUUUUACUUUAAUUAUAAU